rnacentral:rRNA from 1 species
UAGGGAAUAUUGGGCAAUGGGCGAAAGCCUGACCCAGCAACGCCGCGUGAGGGAAGAAGGCCUUUGGGUUGUAAACCUCUGUCCUAUGGGAAGAAAAAGAUGACGGUACCAUAGGAGGAAGCUCCGGCUAACUACGUGCCAGCAGCCGCGGUAAUACGUAGGGGGCGAGCGUUGCUCGGAUUGACUGGGCGUAAAGCGCGCGUAGGCGGUCCAUUAAGUGUGUGGUGAAAUGCAGAGGCUCAACCUCUGUCCCGCCGCGCAAACUGGUGGUCUUGAGAUUGGGAGGGGGAUGCGGAAUUCCUGGUGUAGCGGUGAAAUGCAUUGAUAUCAGGAGGAACACCGGCGGCGAAGGCGGCAUCCUGGCUUAUAUCUGACGCCGAGGCGCGAAAGCGUGGGUAGCAAACG